AGCAUCCAGACUAAAGGGAAGCCCUAAUUUGGGACAUAAUACUCCUGUUGCAGACGGAAAAAGUCAAAGGCAGAAUCAGUUAUGAAAUCAGGAGGCAAUAUCAAGAAGCUGUGGUGGGCCUUGAAGAAAAUGAGCAUCCUAUUUCAAGGCACCCUCCCCAGCAGCAAACCUCUGCAUUAUUUAUGCAUUGCCACAGGAAGAUGAAGCGAGGCUGGAGUCAGGAGGAGACAUAUUCUGGAGAAUGUGAUAGAAACUCAAAACAGCAAUGCUUCCAAUUAAACCAACCAAGGCUCACCAAAGCCCUGGAGAUUCCAGUUUGUGCGCAGCAUCAUGCAGACGGCAUUCAGCCCAAGUUCCUGAGUGGUGUUAACAUCUCUAUAAAGGAAAUAAUAUUGGUGAUAUGUUCAAUUACCUUCCAAGAGCCCAGUUUGCAAGACCCUGUUUUCCAGACCUCUUAUGAGGUCUGCCUAGCAAGCGUUUCAUCUGAAUUAUCAGCAACAUCCUGUUGAGAUUAACCACAGGGGGCACGUGCAGAAUUUAUUCCUGUAACUACCUGAAAGGGGAUUUUACGCUCCGCUUCCUUUCCCAAAGUCAGAGACUUUCACUUAAAUUGGGCCAUUGUGGGCCAAAGUUCCAACAGGGCCUCAGAAAAGCAGCAUUUACUUAUAGGUAGUUUUUGCUCCCUCCACUAGCUAAUUUGUGGAGACAAUUUUCACAUUAAACCCAGCAGAAUGCACCAAUAACCAACUCUUCAUGAGUCUGCCUACAGUGGGACAUUUAUUAUAUGUUGUAAAACGCUGGAGGAGGUUUUCUGCCAUCCCAGUGUUGUGAAUUAUAAAAUCCUUCUUUCCAAAAUAUUUCUAUUACACUAAAAGAGCCCAUGUAAAUCAACAUAAAAACAUGUAGUCUAGUGUGGCUUUCUUUUGUA